rnacentral:lncRNA from 1 species
GCUUAAACUGAAUUAUUUAUUAUAUUCAGUACAUUUUAUCCAUACAGGAUAAAGUCUUUUUCAUGUCAAAAGCAAAACAUACUUAAGCAUAAGCAGCUAAGAAAUGAACGCAGGGGGAUGAGAGGAGCAGGCUGAGCGGGAGGCUGAGGACAGAGACAAGAAACCCACGGAGCCAUUUUCAGGGGAUGCCCCACUCACGCAAAUUUCGGGGAUUCAGAUUUAAAUUCGGGUGGGGCAGUGUGUGAAGGAUGCACUCCGUUAGAAGGUGGCGCUCUGCCAAGCUGCCUUGUACCAAGUAUCUAUUUUUUAAAAUAAGCUGUUCUUUCAAUUUUCAAAUUUGUCAUGUGUGCAAAACCAAAUCUGAUAGCU